rnacentral:rRNA from 1 species
UACAGAGGUCUCAAGCGUUGUUCGGAUUCAUUGGGCGUAAAGGGUGCGUAGGCGGCGCGGUAAGUCGGGUGUGAAAUCUCGGAGCUUAACUCCGAAACUGCAUUCGAUACUGCCGUGCUUGAGGACUGGAGAGGAGACUGGAAUUUACGGUGUAGCGGUGAAAUGCGUAGAUAUCGUAAGGAAGACCAGUGGCGAAGGCGGGUCUCUGGACAGUUCCUGACGCUGUAGCGCGAAAGCGUGGGGAGCGAACGGG